GAUGAACGCUGGCGGCGUGCCUAAUACAUGCAAGUCGAACGGACAGAUGAGGUUCUGGCUCCUCUGAGGGUAGAAGCGGACAGGUAAGUGACAGUUAGAUAACCUACCUAUAGGGCUGAGAUAACGUCAGGAAGCCGGAUCUAAGACCGGAGAUUAUAUUGCACGGCAUGGUUUAGUAGUUAAAGGCGGUUUGGCUUUCACUUAUGGAUUGAUCUCGGGCGCAUUGGCUAGUUGGUAAGGUAACGUUUUACGGAGGCCACGAUGCGUAGCCGAACUGAGCGGGUGAUAGGCCACACUGGAAGUGAGACACGGUCCAGGGGCCUACGGGAGGCAGCAGUAGGGAAUCUUAGGCAAUGGGCGAGAGCCUGACGGAGCAAGGCCGCGUGAGUGAUGAAGGCCCUGGGAUCGUAAAAACGUGUUAUUAGGGAAGAACAAAUGUGUCAGGAAAUAUGGACGUAUUGACGGUAACUGGUAAGAAAGCACCGGCUAACUACGUG
rnacentral:rRNA from 1 species